rnacentral:rRNA from 1 species
UACGUAGGGGGCGAGCGUUGUCCGGAUUUAUUGGGCGUAAAGAGCUCGUAGGCGGUUUGGUAAGUUGGAUGUGAAAUCUCCAGGCUCAACUUGGAGGGGUCAUUCGAUACUGCCAUGACUAGAGUUCGGUAGGGGAGUGUGGAAUUCCUGGUGGAGCGGUGAAAUGCGUAGAUAUCAGGAGGAACACCUGCGGUGUAGACGGCUUACUGGACCAUAACUGACGCUGAGGCACGAAAGCGUGGGUAGCAAGCAGG